UACGUAGGGUGCAAGCGUUAAUCGGAAUUACUGGGCGUAAAGCGUGCGCAGGCGGCUUUGCAAGACAGAUGUGAAAUCCCCGGGCUUAACCUGGGAACUGCAUUUGUGACUGCAUGGCUAGAGUGCGGCAGAGGGGGAUGGAAUUCCGCGUGUAGCAGUGAAAUGCGUAGAUAUGCGGAGGAACACCGAUGGCGAAGGCAAUCCCUGGGCCUGCACUGACGCUCGAUGCACGAAAGCGUGGGGAGCAAACAGG
rnacentral:rRNA from 1 species